rnacentral:lncRNA from 1 species
ACAAUUGGGGUUUCUUCUAUAUAGCUGAAAAUUAUAGAUAAAUUAUCAAAGAAGACUAUUUGCUCACUGGUUCCGGUCACUUUUUUCUUUAAUAAUUAAACUUUUGUUUUGUUUUGUUUUGUUUUGUUUUUGGCACCGGGAAUCGAACUCAGGACCUUGUGCUUGCCAGAGGUGCUUCUACUGCUGAACUGUAUCCAUGGCCCCUUUAACAAUUAAACUGAAAGUAACUCAGCAACUGCCCUUUUUAAAAAAAAAAAAAUUACUCUCUCAGUGGUUGUAUGCGUUAUUCUGAAUGUUUAAUUCUUCACUUCCAUUUGCAAUGAUAUGCUGUAAUUUUGGAAAGAGAAUUAUUCUUGUGUGACAUAUUCUUCUAACUUUUUGUUGAAUCUCUUCACUCUUCUUGUCAGUGUAGAAUUAUGAGGAAAGGAUUCUAGAUGUAUUUGUUUUCAGGAAGGAAAGAGGAUAGGAAGCAAAAUUAAAAUCGAAGUCACUCUCCUAGGUGUAAUUCUUUAAAAAUUAUUUUAAGGGUUGUAGCCACCAGGCAUCUGGGCCUGGAAAACCACUUGGGCCUAAUUCGCGUUCUCCCUACUAAAGCAGGCCCUUGAAAGUCUGCCCCUAGCAGCAAGGUUGGGAAAAUUUCUGUUGCUGUUCUUGUCUGUGAUAUACGGUAGAAGGGUUGGCCCCGGUUGGGUCCACCUGCCAGCGGAGUUUAAAGUUUCUGCGGCUCCGAGGAACACAAUGAUUUGGAUCAAACUGGCUAAAGGGAAGAGGAGCAUUUCUGCCGCAUCGGAGAACCCGUCCGUGGAAAUCCUGCUAAGCCAGCUGUCCUUUCCACGCGUCCGUGCCGUGCCGCAGAGAAACGCGCCACGCCGGCCUCCUCUUGCCCUGCCCAGAGGUUCUGCCGAUCAAGGAUAUGCUGAAAGCUCGGAGACGUGCGGCUGGAAGAUGAAGCGAGGCGGAGUGCGGCCACGGCAGUGUUUUCUGUUGGCACCCGCUCCAGCACCCCUCUGCGGGGCCAGCUCGCCGUGCAGUGGGGCGGCCGGCGAGGACGCGCACCGGGCGAUCGGCACCGGGUGGCCCGAGCAGAGCGCGGGGAGGCGCGCAUGGG